AUUGAACGCUGGCGGCAGGCUUAACACAUGCAAGUCGAGCGGAGAUGAGAUGCUUGCACCUUAUCUUAGCGGCGGACGGGUGAGUAAUGCUUAGGAAUCUGCCUAUUAGUGGGGGACAACAUUCCGAAAGGAAUGCUAAUACCGCAUACGUCCUACGGGAGAAAGCAGGGGAUCUUCGGACCUUGCGCUAAUAGAUGAGCCUAAGUCGGAUUAGCCAGUUGGUGGGGUAAAGGCCUACCAAGGCGACGAUUUGUAGCGGGUCUGAGAGGAUGAUCCGCCACACUGGGACUGAGACACGGCCCAGACUCCUACGGGAGGCAGCAGUGGGGAAUAUUGGACAAUGGGGGGAACCCUGAUCCAGCCAUGCCGCGUGUGUGAAGAAGGCCUUAUGGUUGUAAAGCACUUUAAGCGAGGAGGAGGCUACUGAGACUAAUACUCUUGGAUAGUGGACGUUACUCGCAGAAUAAGCACCGGCUAACUCUGUGCCAGCAGCCGCCGUAA
rnacentral:rRNA from 1 species